GUCCAAUUAGCUCAGUGGUAGAGCACUUCAAUUCAAUGCAUUGAGGACACAUCUGUCUUGGAAUGUCCCAGGUUCAAAUCCUGGAUUGGACU
rfam:Moniliophthora roreri strain MCA 2952 kmer90.96667, whole genome shotgun sequence.